CCUACGGGUGGCAGCAGUGAGGAAUAUUGGUCAAUGGACGAGAGUCUGAACCAGCCCAGUCGCGUGAAGGAUGACUGCCCUCUGGGUUGUAAACUUCUUUUAUAUGGGAAUAAAAUGUUCCACGUGUGGGAUUUUGUAUGUACCCUAUGAAUCCGGAUCGGCUAACUCCGUGCCAGCAGCCGCGGUAAUACGGAGGAUCCGAGCGUUAUCCGGAUUUAUUGGGUUUAACGGGAGCGUAGGUGGAUUGUUAAGUCAGUUGUGAAAGUUUGCGGCUCAACCGGAAAAUUGCAGUUGAAACUGGCAGUCUUGAGUACAGUAGAGGUGGGCAGAAUUCGUGGUGUAGCGGUGAAAUGCGUAGAGAUCACGAAGAACUCCGAUUGCGAAGGCAGCUCACUGGACUGCAACUGACACUGAGGCUCGAAAGUGUGGGUAGCAAACAGGAUUAGAUACCCCUGUAGUC
rnacentral:rRNA from 1 species